GCCGAGCUUGGGACUGAGGUGACCGAGGCCGAGCUGCGGGAGGUCGGGCUUGGGGACCCGGCGGGCGGGGCGAGGUCGCUCCGCGCCGCCCACGCCGGAUGCACAGCCGGCCCUCUUCGCGCCCACGUACCCACGUGAGCGCCCAGCCGGCGACAUUCCUACAUCCCCCUCCCCGCCCGCUCCUACCCCUCCGAGCGGAGAGCGGAGUUUCACAACCACGCGCGGGUACACAAAAACACGGAGAAGCGCACGAACGUGCACACGCGCCUCAACAACUACGCGGACGCCCGCUGCCCACACUCCGGCCUCGCGAUGCUGGUUGUCGUGAGGUUCAAAUGAGAAGAUGUGUAUGAAGACUCUGUAAAGUGCCAAGCAAAUUUAAGACGUUAUUGCUAGUUUGUGCCUCUGUAUCCUCAGAUAAUGUAUUUAUAUGUUUCUUUACAUCGAA